CAGUGCACACCUUUAAUUUCAGCACUUGGGAGACAGAGGCAGGCAGAUCUCUGAGUUUGAGUCCAGCCUGGUUUACAUAGUGAAUUUCAAGACAGUCAGAAUUAUGUAGAGAGACCCUGUCUCUGUGUGAGGAGGCCAGAGGACAACUGGCAGGAGUCAACUCUCUCCCCCGUCCAUGUGGGGUCCCAGCUACCGAACUCGGGCCCUCAUGCUUGUUAGCUGUACCCACAGAACUGUCUUACACUCAUUCGUUUUUCCAAAGAAUGUGAAAGAACGGCAGUGAGCACGUGAGCUUCAGUUGAACCGUCCUUCCCAGGAGCGAGAAUGUGAAGUGGAGACUCAGGUUACUACGGAAGUAUGGUGCAAUGGAUAAUAACCUAUAAAGGUUGUUUGCUGACACCUCCAUGUCACCUCACAGAGGGUCGCAGACGCAGGCUCCAGAAUCCGGUGACAUUUCACUGCAUUUCACGCUAGCUGUCCUUGGGAAGAUUUUCAGUUCAGAUACGCCUCGUGACAAAAACUCAGUGCUGGGGAGCUUCCUCGGCACCUGGGACAUCAUCCUAAGGUAGCACACCCUUGACCUCUCCUGGUGACACUGUGUCCUGGGCCACACAGCCUUGAUUGCCAGAGAAAUACGGAGGAGCAGGAGUCUUGGAUGGAGAGAGAGCUUGACCCACUGUCCACUACUUCAAGAAACGGGCAUAAGGUGGCAGCACUGGCAGUCCCUGCAUGUGCCUGAGGAAGCUUGGCCAAGGGCCAGGUAAGCUGGAGCUCUCAAGUCCCAGGGAGAAGACGGCAAAAGGAAACUCAAUAGAAGGCGCCAUCCUUAGCCUAUGGAGAAGUGGAAGGGGGAGGCUGUCUAACAUACAUGGUAUGCUCCCAUUUAUAUGACAUGUCUGUGAUAAGCAGCUCCACAGACCGGAAGUAGGACUGCAGCAUUGAGCUGUAGAAAACUGCUGAAAAUAAGGGGUUUCUUUGCACGGUGAUGAUGUUCUGAAACUCUGGAUAGGACUAGAUUGGUUUUUGUUUUGUUUUUUAAAGAAUUUAUUUCCAUCAUUUUUUAAAAAAUUCUUUAUAUUUGUGUGUCUGUGUCUGGGCAUGUGCAGAUGACCCAGCAGG
rnacentral:lncRNA from 1 species